AAACUAUAAAUAAAAUAUCAUGCAAAAAUAUCGGACAGUAACUAGCAUAAGACAAAAUCCAAUACACAAAUCAUCUAUGAAUAAGCCUGCCAGGCCUCACCCAACCCCGGGUGUGGAGUAUGAAAAACUCUAGGGGCCCCUAUCCCACAACCUUGAUACUAGACCUUCAUACUUUCCUAUCCAGGGUCAUGUCCUCAGAAACCCGCAUCCUAGCCAUGUCGUGCCUAAUCACCUCUCCCCAAUACCUCUUAGGCCUCCCUCUGCCUCGCCGUACGCCGACCAUCGCCAGCCGCUCACAACUCCUCACCG
rnacentral:lncRNA from 1 species